UUAUAUGAAGCCCCAGUCUGUGACAUAUGGGAGGGAGCCGUAACGAUUGUGAGGCCACCCCACCAGCAACUAGGGAGAAACACCGACGGACCACCAAAGAAGGUCCAGCAAAUUGACCGGAACCCGUUACCGAAAAAGAGAAAACAAUAGGUGGCGCAUUCAAAGUCUCAAUAAGAACAAAAAACACCAGCACCUGCACCUUGUCUAAAUUGACUCGCCAGAGCUAAAGUCGACAUUGCAGAGGCUGGAGCGUUGUAUUCUCGAUUAAAAUGAUAAAAGCACUUUUGAGCCCAAUGCCCAAAUCGGCCAUAUAUUUGGCAUUGAACUUUCGAUCUAAAACCCUUCUCACGACCACUAGUGGGGGAACGACCACCACAGACAGAUGUUUCUACCGACAAUGAUGGAAUCGUUUCCACCAGAUAAGCAUGAAACAGUACCUCCUGCUCCGCACAAUGCUGCCGACCCUCAUACUCCAACAGUACAUCAGUGAGACAUUGAAAUGGAAGAUCUUUUGACGAGAAUGAUGCGAGAGUGAGCACGGCAUCAAACUCUGAUAGCAACCUCGCAAGCACGAUCUCAACUUUCUCCGCUUCUGACAUACGAGAUCCAAAAGCCUCAAUCAGAGCACAGUGAUGGCGACGAAAAAGCAAUGAGUAGUGUUCCAAACAUCGUACGUCAUUGUGGCAUCUGUAAAACAAGAUAAAAGUGAAUGACUAAUUGUAGAAAGUAACCAUGGGGCAAGCAACUUAUACUAUUGAACGAAUGAUGAGGCCUCUGAAUUCGGAACCAAAGAGCCCUCCAGAGACGGUACAAAAGGCGGUGGAGUAGUGUCAUGGUGAGGAAAAUAUUUUAUUAACCAAGCACUAAUGAACAUUGAACAACUGUGAUCAGCAGAAGCAGAGGUAGCCAUGGAAACAAACAAAAAGAAGAGCAAAUCUCCAGAAUCUAGGCGAUUGAUACCAUGUUAGUAUCCAUGGAAAACUUAGUAGAAAUAGAAUGAAUAUGCUGAGAAUUUACUAGUAUUGUUAUUAUUUUUCAUCUGUACACCAAUAGUAUUUAUAUAUAAUUUGUGCAUGAGUAAUUGCUACUAACAA